ensembl:lncRNA
AUGUCACCAUGUGAAAAGAUCUGCACCAAUAGCACCCAGCAUGAUAGGAUGCUUAUGAUGUAUUGUGUUUUUCUCUUGUUGCAGGUCACUGUGACAGCCUUAAAUGACCUCUCUCCUCCUGAGGAUUGCAGGAGCAUCACUACUGAGGAUGAUGGCGAGAGUUCAUCACUCGCUGUUUAUGAUCAACAAGAGUACCCUGCAGCAUGUCCCCAUAUGAAACCCUUUCAGGCAUCCCUCUCGGUUAUCACAGAGGAGUCAUCUUCAUCACUUUCCGAAUGGAUGAGAGAAUUUGUUCCAGCAGUAAUCUUGCCUGGGAUAGAUUCGUCAGAAGAAGUUAUAGCCAUUCACAAGGGAUACUCAACUUUAUUGGAUGACGGGCCUGAUCUUCAGCAGGAGGACCCUUCCGUUGAUGCUGCAUGGGUCAAGGAGGCUACAGGACUGCAGCAAGCUGAUCAACAAGAGUACCCUGCACCAUGUCCCCAUAUGGAACCCUCUCAGGGAUCCCUCUCGGUUAUUACAGAGGAGUCAUCUUCAUCACUUUCCGAAUGGACGAGAGAAUUUGUUCCGGCAGGAAUCUUGCCUGGGAUAGAAUCAUCAGAAGAAAUUAUAGCCAUUCACAAGGGACAGUCACCUUUAUGGGAUGACGAACUGGAAGACUCCAUUGCAGGCAGCCAUCAGCAGGUGAAAGAAUGUUCUAAACCUACAGAAAAAGCAACAAAGAAGCUGAAAGUGAAGAAGGAAAGGAAAACCAGUAAGCCCAGGAAUAACACCAGGCGGCGAGCCCAGAACAUUUUGGACAUUUGUAAAAUAUGUUAGAAACCUCUGAAGGAGACCGACUCAAGAUGGCGCGGUGAGAACAACCCAAGAUUGAAGCUGUCAGUGAAUGUGCGGAGGCCUGUCGUUGCCGAGGCAACCCACAACAGAGAGACUCCGCUGCAGGGCAUAGCUUGUAGCAGGGCGGAGACCACAGCAGCAGGGCAGAGCCUGCAGCAACAGGGCGGACCUUACACCAGCAGGGCAGAGCCUCAGCAGGCAAAUAGUGACUAGACUGCCUCCUAGCUGGGCAGGACAGCGCAAUGGACACUCAUAAAGCAAGCCCCAACCCCCCGAGACAGAGCAACUGUUAAAAAAAGGGUUUUUUUUUUUUAUGAGUUCUGCUGCAGCAGAAUUAAAUGUAGCAGCCUAACAGCCCUGAAUGAACAACAGAACUCACAGCUCAGCACUUGACCUCCUAUAAAAUACAGACUGUCUCCUCAAGCAGCUCCCUGACCCCUCUAUAUCCAGAAGACUGACAUUUGGCAGGCAUCAUUCUGGGACAAAGAUAGCAGAAAAAGAAACUGGUAGCAUCCCUCACUGUUCCGCAGCCACUAUAGAUGCAUCCCAGAAAAGCAGGGCCUGGAGUGUACCUCAGCAGUCAUACAGUGGAGGGGUUAGACUGGUAGAAGGAAAACCAAGUAACAGAAAUACUUCAUCAACAAUCUGGGCGUCCACUCAGAGACCCAAUCGAAAAAUCAGCAACUACUCAGAUGACAGGUGGAUAAAUCCACAGAGAUGGGAAGAAACCAGCGCAAAAAGGAGGAAAACACCCAAAACCAGAACACCGUGACUCCUACAAAGGACCAAAACCCUUCACCAGCAAGGGAGCAAAGCUGCACGGAGAGUGACUGUGAUGAAAUGAUGGAAUUAGACUUCAGACGGUGGAUAAUGAGAAACUUUUGUGAGCUAAAAGAACAUGUUUUAGAUCAAUACAAAGGAACUAAGAACCUUGAAAAAAGAUUUGAGGAAAUGAUAACAAGAAUGGAAAACUUAGGAAUAUGAAUGAAUUGAAGGAGCUGAAAAACCCAAUACGAGAACUUCGCGAAGCAUGCACAAGUUUCAACAGCCGAAUGGACCAAGCAGAAGAAAGACUAUCAGAAGUCGAAGAUCAACUCAAUGAAAUAAAACGAGAAACCAAGAUUAGAGACAAAAGAGCAAAAAGGAAUGAACAAAGUCUCCAAGAAAUGUGGGACUAUGUGAAGAGACCUAACCUACGUUUGAUAGGUGUACCAGAAUGUGACGAAGAGAAUGAAUCCAAGCUGGAAAAUACUCUUCAGGAUAUUAUCCAGGAAAAUUUCCCCCACCUAUCAAGGCAGGCCAACACUCAAAUGCAGGAAAUACAGAGAACACCACAAAGAUAUUCAGCAAGAAGAACAACCCCAAGGCACAUAAUCGUCAGAUUCAACAGGGUUGAAGUAAAGGAGAAAAUACUAAGGGCAGCCAGAGAGAAAGGUCGGGUCACCCACAAAGGGAAGCUCAUCAGACUCACAACAGAUCUCUUGGCAGAAACUCUACAAGCCAGAAGAGAGUGGGGGCAAAUAUUCAACAUCUUUAAAGAAAAGAACUUUCAAGCCAGAAUUUCAUAUCCAGCCAAACUGAGCUUCAUAAGUGAAGGAAUAAGAAAAUCCUUUGCGAACAAGCAAGUACUCAGAGAUUUUGUCACCACCAGGCCUGCUUUACAAGAGCUCCUGAAAGAGGCACUACACAUAGAAAGGAACAACCAGUACCAGCCAUUCCAAAAUCACACUAAAUGCUAAAGAACAUCAACAAAAUGAAGAAUCUACAUCAAUUAACGGGCAAAACAGCCAGCUAGCAUCAAAAUGGCAGUAUCAAAUUCACACAUAAUAUUUACCCUAAAUGUAAAGGGGCUAAAUGCACCAAUCAAAAGACACAGACAGGCAAAUUGGACAAAAAACAAAAACUCAUCAGUGUGCUGUAUUCAGGAAACCCAUCUCACAUGCAAGGAUACACAAAGGCUCAAAAUAAAGGGAUGGAGGAAGAUUUACCAAGCAAAUGGAGAGCAAAAAAAAGCAGGAGUUGCAAUUCUCAUCUCUGAUAAAAUAGACUUUAAAGCAACAAAGAUCAAAAGAGACAAAGAAGGCCAUUACAUAAUGCUAAAAGGAUCGAUACAAUAAGAAGAGCUAACCAUCCUAAACAUAUAUGGACCCAAUACAGGAGCACCCAGAUACAUAAGGCAAGUUCUUAAUGACUUACAAAGAGACUUAGACUCCCACACAAUAAUAGUGGGAGACUUUAACACUCCACUGUCAAUAAUAGAUCAACCAGACAAAAUCAACAAGAAUAUUCAGGGCUUGAACUCAGACCUGGAACAAGCAAACCUGAUAGACAUUUACAGAACUCUCCACCCCAAAGCCACAGAAUAUAUAUUCUUCUCAGCACCACAUCACACCUACUUUAAAAUUGACCACAUAAUUGGAAGUAAAGCACUGCUCAGCAAAUGCAAAACAACUGAAAUCAUAACAGUCUCUCAGACCAUAGUGCAAUCAAGUUAGAACUCAUAAUUCAGAAACCAACCUAGAACCACACGACUUCAUGGAAACUGAACAACUGUCUCCUGAAUGUUGACUAGAUAAACAGUGAAAUAAAGGCAGAAAUUAAGAAGCUCUUCAAAACCAAUGAGAUCGAAGACACAACAUGGCAGAAUCUCUGGGACACAUUUAAAGCAGUCUUUAGAGGAAAAU